UCUGUACACAGUUUGUAGAAACUUGCUCUAAACGCUGCUCUGAGCUUGUCCUGAAACUUGCCUGUAGAUAGAUUGCCGUGAGGUCAAAUAUCUGCCUCAGUACCUGGAGUUCUAAGGAAGCUUUCUAGAUUGUUCAAGGCUGUGCCCUGUUUUCUUCUAUGGAUAUCUUCCUGACACUUUUUAAUGCACGCACCUUUUCUAGGUAGCCCUGUUGGAGCUGGAAAUUAUUUUUAUCUGCUAUUCUGGACUUCCUUCCAUCAUCUGGAAGGAUUAUCACUCCUGGUGCACCCCUACUUUGAAGAGUUGCAUUUAUUCAUUACUGCAAAUCAGGAACAAAGAUGAUGGGAUGAUGUGGCGACCCCUGGGGCUCUCCAGGUCCCUCUUCCUUAAUCCCCUCCAGUGCAUGACUAGAGGGACCCAUGCAGUCCCUAAAUGAGAACUUUACAGCCAGGCACUGCUGACACUACUUCAUUAUGAAGAUGCAUGGGAUGGCUACAAGAUAAUGAAUGCCAGUGCUUGGAAGGAUAAACUCGGCUUCUCUCUGAUACAAUUUAACAUCGUAUUUCCCUAAUUUGAGCCUGAU
rnacentral:lncRNA from 10 species